rnacentral:lncRNA from 1 species
AUGAACAAAGCUAGUGGAGGUGAUGGAAUUCCAGUUGAGCUAUUUCAAAUCCUGGAAGAUGAUGCUGUGAAAGUGCUGCACUCAAUAUGCCAGCAAAUUUGGAAAACUCAGCAGUGGCCACAGGCCUGGAAAAGGUCGGUUUUCAUUCCAAUCCCAAAGAAAGGCAAUGCCAAAGAAUGCUCAAACUACCACACAAUUGCACUCAUCUCACAUGCUAGCAAAGUAAUGCUCAAAAUUCUCCAAGCCAGGCUUCAGCAGCAAUACGUGAACCGUGAACUUCCUGAUGUUCAAGCUGGUUUUAGAAAAGGCAGAAGAACCAGAGAUCAAAUUGCCAACAUCUGCUGGAUCAUGGAAAAAGCAAGACAGUUCCAGAAAAACAUCUAUUUCUGCUUUAUUGACUAUGCCAAAGCCUUUGACUGUGUGGAUCACAAUAAACUGUGGAAAAUUCUGAAAGAGAUGGAAAUACCAAACCACCUGACCUGCCUCUUGAGAAACCUGUAUGCAGGUCAGGAAGCAACAGUUAGAACUGGACAUGGAACAACAGACAGGUUCCAAAUAGGAAAAGGAGUACAUCAAGGUUGUAUAUUGUCACCCUACUUAUUUAACUUCUAUGCAGAGUACAUCAUGAGAAACGCUGGGCUGGAAGAAGCACAAGCUGGAAUCAAGAUUGCUGGGAGAAAUAUCAAUCACCUCAGAUAUGCAGAUGACACCACCCUUAUGGCAGAAAGUGAAGAGAAGCUAAAAGGCCUCUUGAUGAAAGUGAAAGAGGAGAGUGAAAAAGUUGGCCUAAAGGUCAACAUUCAGAAAACAAAGAUCAUGGCAUCUGGUCCCAUCACUUCAUGGGAAAUAGAUGGGGAAACAGUGGAAACAGUGUCAGGCUUUAUUUUUCUGGGCUCCAAAAUCACUGCAGAUGGUGACUGCAGCCAUGAAAUUAAAAGACGCUUACCCCUUGGAAGAAAAGUUACAACCAACCUAGAUUGCAUAUUCAAAAGCAGAGACAUUACUUUGCCGACUAAGGUCCAUCUAGUGAAGGCUAUGGUUUUUCCUGUGGUCAUGUAUGGAUGUGAGAGUUGGACUGUGAAGAAGGCUGAGCGCUGA